rnacentral:rRNA from 1 species
UACGAACCGUACGAACGUUAUUCGGAAUCACUGGGCUUAAAGGGUGCGUAGGCGGCGCGGAAAGUUGGGUGUGAAAUCCCUCGGCUCAACCGAGGAAUUGCGCCCAAAACUGCCGUGCUUGAGGGAGACAGAGGUGAGCGGAACUAAGGGUGGAGCGGUGAAAUGCGUUGAUAUCCGUAGGAACACCGGUGGCGAAAGCGGCUCACUGGGUCUCUUCUGGCGCUGAGGCACGAAAGCUAGGGGAGCGAACGGG